rnacentral:tRNA from 1 species
AGUUAAUGAGCUUGACAAAAAGCAUAUAUCUUGAAAAUAUAAAAUAAAAUUAAUAUUUUAUUAACUU